GGACUACACGGGUAUCUAAUCCUGUUUGCUCCCCACGCUUUCGUGCAUGAGCGUCAGUUUCAGCCCAGGGACCUGCCUUCGCCAUCGGUAUUCCUCCUGAUCUCUACGCAUUUCACUGCUACACCAGGAAUUCCAGUCCCCUCUGCCAAACUCAAGCCUUGCAGUCCCAAAUGCCAUUCCCAGGUUAAGCCCGGGGAUUUCACAUCUGGCUUACAAAACCGCCUGCGCACGCUUUACGCCCAGUAAUUCCGAUUAACGCUCGCACCCUACGUAUUACCGCGGCGGCUGGCAC
rnacentral:rRNA from 2 species